rnacentral:tmRNA from 1 species
UCACUGGCUUUUUCUGAUGCACAGCCCUAUAAUAAUAAUGUCGGCUUAGCGGCCGACUAUGAUGCUACACGCUGAUGCGGAAUAAGCGCUAUGGACCCGGGGGCAGUACCCGGCGGCUCCACCAUUUUAGCCUUCUGGUUUGCUUGAACAAGGCAGGCUAAGGCGGCGGGGCCGAAACAGGAUCGACAUGCGUAGUAAAGGUGUUAUGCGGCAUUCGGUUGGAUUUCCGCCGUUAUCGGAUCAAUUUUGAUAGUUGCAAAUGACAACAAUCAGUUCGUAGCCGCUAACGACAACUCUGUUGUUGAAGGCGAUGUUCGUAAAGCUGCCUAAUUGGUGCUUUCGAUGCUACAUUUGAAUCCCUGACCUCUAACUAAGGUUAGGUGGGGCUUGGACGGUGCCUCGCAACAGAAACCGUCCAUU